GGCCCCAUCGUCUAAUGGUUAGGACACCGCCCUUUCACGGCGGCAAUAGGGGUUCGAAUCCCCUUGGGGUCACAA
rnacentral:tRNA from 1 species